rnacentral:rRNA from 1 species
UUGGCUUAGAAGCAGCCACCAUUUAAAGAGUGCGUAAUAGCUCACUGGUCGAGUGACUCUGCGCCGAAAAUGUACCGGGGCUAAACGUAUCACCGAAGCUGCGGACUGUUCUUCGAACAGUGGUAGGAGAGCGUUCUAAGGGCUGUGAAGCCAGACCGGAAGGACUGGUGGAGCGCUUAGAAGUGAGAAUGCCGGUAUGAGUAGCGAAAGAGGGG